GAGCGCCGUAGCAAUACGGAGCGGCAGACGGGAGAGUAACACGUGGGAACGUACCCUUCAGUUCGGAACAACCCCAGGGAAACUUGGGCUAAUACCGAAUACGUCCGUAAGGAGAAAGAUUUAUCGCUGAAGGAUCGGCCCGCGUCUGAUUAGCUAGUUGGUGAGGUAACGGCUCACCAAGGCGACGAUCAGUAGCUGGUCUGAGAGGAUGAUCAGCCUCACUGGGACUGAGACACGGCCCAGACUCCUACGGGAGGCAGCAGUGGGGAAUAUUGGACAAUGGGCGCAAGCCUGAUCCAGCCAUGCCGCGUGGGUGAUGAAGGCCCUAGGGUUGUAAAGCCCUUUCGGCGGGGAAGAUAAUGACGGUACCCGCAGAAGAAGCCCCGGCUAACUUCGUG
rnacentral:rRNA from 1 species